rnacentral:rRNA from 1 species
AUUGAACGCUGGCGGCAGGCCUAACACAUGCAAGUCGAGCGGAUGAGUGGAGCUUGCUCCAUGAUUCAGCGGCGGACGGGUGAGUAAUGCCUAGGAAUCUGCCUGGUAGUGGGGGACAACGUUUCGAAAGGAACGCUAAUACCGCAUACGUCCUACGGGAGAAAGUGGGGGAUCUUCGGACCUCACGCUAUCAGAUGAGCCUAGGUCGGAUUAGCUAGUUGGUGAGGUAAAGGCUCACCAAGGCGACGAUCCGUAACUGGUCUGAGAGGAUGAUCAGUCACACUGGAACUGAGACACGGUCCAGACUCCUACGGGAGGCAGCAGUGGGGAAUAUUGGACAAUGGGCGAAAGCCUGAUCCAGCCAUGCCGCGUGUGUGAAGAAGGUCUUCGGAUUGUAAAGCACUUUAAGUUGGGAGGAAGGGCAGUAGGUUAAUACCUUGCUGUUUUGACGUUACCAACAGAAUAAGCACCGGCUAACUUCGUGCCAGCAGCCGCCGUAACAC